rnacentral:rRNA from 1 species
ACUGGAUAAACGCUGAAAGCAUCUAAGCGUGAAGCCAACCUCAAGAUGAGAUUUCCCAUAGCGUAAGCUAGUAAGACUCCUGGAAGAACACCAGGUUGAUAGGUCAGAGAUGUAAGCAUGGCAACAUGUUAAGUUGACUGAUACUAAUAAGUCGAGGGCUUGACCAAAUAA